UACGAGGGGGGCAAGUGUUGUUCGGAAUCACUGGGCGUAAAGAGAGCGUAGGCGGAAGCUUAAGUCGGAUGUUUAAUUUCAGGGCCCAACUCUGAACUUGCGUCCGAAACUGGGUUUCUUGAAUAUAGGAGAGGUGGAUGGAAUUCCCGGUGUAGCGGUGGAAUGCGUAGAGAUCGGGAGGAACACCAGUUGCGAAGGCGAUCCACUGGCCUGAUAUUGACGCUGAGGCUCGAAAGCGUGGGGAGCGAACAGGAUUAGAUACCCCGUGUA
rnacentral:rRNA from 1 species